rnacentral:rRNA from 1 species
CCCUACGGGGCGCAGCAGUGGGGAAUAUUGCACAAUGGGGGAAACCCUGAUGCAGCGACGCCGCGUGAGUGAAGAAGUAUCUCGGUAUGUAAAGCUCUAUCAGCAGGGAAGAAAGAAAUGACGGUACCUGACUAAGAAGCCCCGGCUAACUACGUGCCAGCAGCCGCGGUAAUACGUAGGGGGCAAGCGUUAUCCGGAUUUACUGGGUGUAAAGGGAGCGUAGACGGUUACGCAAGUCUGGAGUGAAAGGCGGAGGCCCAACCCC